ACCCGCGGGGAGAAGAGUUGUGGCUGGUUCUCCGUGGGGAAAGGAGAGUGGUGCUGCUGGUGGGUCUGUGUUGAUGACCGGGCUGUAGGGAAGGAAGGAAAAUGAAUGUGUGGGGGCCGGUUGGCUGAUUUGAAAGAAACACAGCCAAGGGGCAGCUGGUUAAGGGAGAAGAAGAUGAAAAUAACGAAAAGGAAGGGCUGUCUUGGCUGAGAGGGAGACGGGUCGCAGGGAGAGAGGCGAACAAGUGGGGAGCAGCUGCUGUUUUGGGAGAGAAAAAUCCCAACCGGGUGGAGGAGGUCGUGCGUUGCUCCGGGUCGGAAAAAUGAAAAAGAACACUGGGGGGGGCGGCGGCUGGCCUUCGUGAAGGAGAGGAAAUCAGUUCAGUUUUUUAGGGUUUUUCCCUUUUGUGUUCCCUCCUUCAAAUUACAAAAUACCCCCCCCUUGCAAAAUGAAUUAAAAGCUGCUAUUUAUAGGCAAAAUAUUUUUUCGUGCUUCCAAAUUGGUCCCUCAAUUUUUUGUGUUCAAUUGACUUGGUAAAAAUUAAAUUUGAUCUUAAAAUUUUAAUCUUUUCAAUUCAGUCCAAAUUAAGCUCCCAAACUUAAUUUUUCACCAAUUAAGCCCUCAAAUUAAUUUGACCCAUUUAAAGUAUAAUCAAGUCCUUGCACUUAAUUAAAUCCUUCAAUUGGACCUAAAUUUAUUCUCAAACAUAAUUAAAAUUUAAUUUGACCCAUGAUUAAAUCAAAUUGGCCCAUUAAAAAUUUAAUUAUGUCAUUGGACUUAAUUUUUAUGCAAAUUCAUCCAAUAAUCAUUUGAUUUGACCUUCGAAUAUGCAUUUAAUUUGACCUUCGAUUUUUGCCUAUUUUUGCAGUCUUUUUUUUAUUGGCUUUCUCCGCAGUGCCAGCCUUUAUUUUAUUUUAUUUUAUUAUUUUUUUUUUUUAAAAAGUGAAAUUUAGGGAAUAACCCAAAAUUGGGUUAUGACAGUUGCCCCCCUCUUUACAAUGCUUAUGAUAGAAAGUCUCGUAGGGGACUUUAGAUAGUAAGCGUUGUAAAGAAGAAAAAAAGGAAGAUGUUUUUUUUUUUUUUUUUAAUUCAAAGAUUUUGAAAUGGUCGAAUUGUCAUGGGUGACCUACCCGGGUGAAAAACACGAAGAUGUUUUAAAGUGGUGAAAAAUACAGAGAUUUUUCAACGAGGUGAAAAAUACAGAGAUUUUCCAAAGUGGUGAAAAAUACAGAGAUUUUUCAAAGUGGUGAGAAAUACGAAGAUUUCUAAAAAUGGUUUUAUUGUUAUGGGCAACCGGCCCAGAUGAAAGGUUUUGAAAAAUACAAAGAUUUUUUCAAAAAGGUGAAAAAUGCAGAGAUUUUUCAAAGUGGUGAGAAAUGCAAAGAUUUCUCAAGAUGGUGAAAAAUUUUAGAGGUGGUGAGAAAUGCAAAGAUUUCUCAAAAUGAUGAAAAAUACAAAGAUUUUUCAAAGUGGUUUUGUUGUAAUGGGCAAACGGCCCAAUUGAAAGAUUUUGAAAAAUACAAAGAUUUUUUCAAAGAGGCGAAAAAUGCAGAGAUUUUUCAAAGUGGUGAGAAAUGCGAAGAUUUCUCAAAAAUGAUCUUGUUGUGAUGGGCGACUUGCCCAGAUGGAAAGUGAUGAAAAAUGCAAAGAUUUUUCAAAGUGGUGAGAAAUACAAAGAUUUCUCAAAGUGGUGAAGAAUGCAGAGAUUUUUCAAAGUGGUUUUAUUGUAAUGGGCAACCGGCCCGAUGGAAAGGUUUUGAAAAAUACAAAGAUUUUUUCAAAGAGGUGAAAAAUGCAGAGAUUUUUCAAAGUGGUGAGAAAUGCAGAGAUUUCUCAAAAUGGUGAAAAAAAUUUGGAGGUGGUGAGAAAUGCAAAGAUUUCUCAAAAUGGUUUUAUUGUUAUGAGCAACCGGCCCGAGUGAAAGAAUUUUGAAAGUGGGGAGAAAUGCAAGGAUUUCUUAAAAUGGUGAAAAAUACAGAGAUUUUUCAAAGUGGUGAAAAAUGCGAAGAUUUCUCAAAAUAGUUUUAUUGUUAUGGGCAACCGGCCAAAAUGGAAGAAUUUUGAAGGUGGGGAGAAAUGCAAGGACUUCUCAAAAUGGUUUUAUUGUUAUGGGCAACCGGCCCAAAUGGAAGAGUUUAAAGUUGGAGAGAAAUGCAACGAUUUCUCAAAAUGGUUUCAUUGUUAUGGGCAAACGGCCCAAAUGGAAGAUGAAAAGAGUUUUGAAAGAGAUCUGAUUAUAAUGGGUGACCUACCCGGGCAAAAAGGCAAAAUGUCUAAAAGGGACGACAUGAUAGGACUCGAUGGAGAACGAGGGCUGAAGAACGCACUCGAAAGGAGGUAGGGUUAGAAGAACACACUACUCGAGAGGUGAGGUCUCGAAGAUGCACUUGAAAGGAGGUAAGGUUUGAAAACGCACUACCUAAAGUGGUGAGGGCUCAAAGGUGCACUCGAAAGGAGGUAAGGUUGGAAAACGCACCACCUAAAAGUGAGGGCUCAAAGGAGCUCUCAAAAAGAGGCAGGGGUAGAAAACGCAUUACCUAAAAGGUGAGGGCUCAAAGGAAGCAAUCAAAAGGAGGUAGGGUUAGAAAAUUCACUACCUAAAAGGUGAGGGCUCGAAGGAGCUCUAAAAAAGAGGCAGGGUUGGAAAACACACUACCUAAAAGGUUGAUGGCUCUAAGGCGCACUUAAAAGGAGAUAGGGUUGAAAAACGCACUACCUAAAGUGGCGAUCGAGGGCUCAAACGUGCACUCGAAAAGAGGUAAGGAGGUAAGGAGGUAAGGUUGGAAAACGCACUACCUAAGGUGGUUAAUGGCCCUAAGGCGCACUUAAAAAGAGAUAGGGUUGGAAAACACACUACCUAAGGUGGUUGGGGGCUCUAAAGCGCACUAAAAAAAGGAGGUAUGGUUAGAAAACACAUUACCUAAGGGGUGAGGGCUAAAAGACGCCCUUAGAAGGAGGUAGGGUUGGAAAACACACUACCUAAAAGGUUGAUGGCUCGAAGGCACACUAAAAAAGAGGUAGGGUUAGAAAAUACACUACCUAAGAAGUGAGUGCUCGAAGGAGCUCUCAAAAGGAGGUAGGGUUGGAAAACACACUACCUAAGAGGGUUAGGGCUCGAAGGCACACUAAAAAAAAGAGGUAGGGUUAGAAAACACACUACCUAAGAUGGUCGAGGGCUCGAAGGAGCUCUCAAAGGGGAGGUAGGGUUAGAAAACACAAUACCUAAGAUGGUCGAGGGCUCUAAAGCGCACUUAAAAGGAGGUAUGGUUAGAAAACACAUUACCUAAGAUGUGAGGGCUCAAAGACGCACUUAGAAGGAGGCAGGUUUGGGAAACACACUACCUAAAAUGGUUAGGGCUCAAAGGCACACUAAAAAAGAGGUAGGGUUAGAAAACACACUACCUAAGGGGUGAGAGCUAAAAGACGCCCUCAGAAGGAGGUAGGGUUAGAAAACACACUACCUAGGAGGUUUAAGGCUUCAGCAACCCGCUAAAAAAGAGGUGAUGGUGAGACACCGAUCUGUCAAGGAUGAAAGAAAUGCAUCAUGAUCAAUAUGCAUGUAUACUUACCUGAGAAGUAUAGGUCCCCUUUUCUUUAUGGAGUUCUCCUUUUCUCAAAAGUUUGAGUCUCUGAUAGUAAGCUUUGAUGGCUUUUGUCCCCCUUGCUUACUCGAGAAAUAUGUUACAAUCUUGGCCUCUAGGAAAGACUCGAUGCCAUCAUUUCUUUGUUCUCCGUCCCUUUUCUCUCAAGGGUUGCAAAUUUCGCCCAAUAGUUUCUUGGACAGGGAAUCAUGGAGCAAGCUCUACCAGAUGUUUUUGAUUGCCCCUUAGCUUGAUCAUGCCCCUCAAGUAUUCAAUUCGGGUUUGGGGAUGAGGCUAUAUGAAGGAAGGUUUGGUUUUUGACAAGGAGUUGUUUUCAUGCAGAAUUUUUGGAAUUUCAAAGUUAUUCCGGACACAGAAUUCAUUUUGACAAUGAUUCAAAGCAAACCCAUUCUGAAGAAAUUCAAGUGAUUCCUAUGGAGAGGUUUUCAGAAGUGAUGAAAACUUUUUUUGUUUUGAUUUUUGGUGAAAAAUAUGAAGUGACAUUUGGUUGGUCACAAAAGGUUUAGAUUUCAAUUUGAGGGUUAUUGAGAACCGUUGGUGAAAAUGUGAAGCACACGAAGUGACAUCUGGUUGGUCAAAAAAGGUUGAAAUUUCAAUUUGAGGGUUAUUGAGAACCGUUUUCAAAGCAAUCAUUUUAUUUGCAUGAAUAAUAAUUUUAUUUCGCAUGAGAAAGCACUGCCUACCGAUCCAGAUUGCUUGCCUUUGAUCAGAAAGGGCUUGAUUAGGCACGUAAUGUAGGCUUGGGCUUUUGGCUAUGAAGAAAAGAAUAUAUGUAGGCUCAAAAGGUGUUUGAGGGACUUUUAAGACUAAGUAUCACAAGUGCUUAUAUCACAAACUCUUUUGUUCAUACAUUUUUGGACCUUGGAAUUGAUUUGUAAAAUGGUCCACGGUGCCCCCCAAUGUUGGGCUUGCUUGGGCUCUUUCUCUUUGUUUUUGUUUUCUUCAUUUGAUUUUGAGCAUCAUUGAAUUAGAUUUUUUUUUAUGCUCAAAAUUUUGGAUUUUUUCAUGCCCCCUAGCUUUGUAUAGGCACCUUUAAUGAUUGAGAAUUUUCUUUUAUGCCCCCCAGUAUUGUUUGGGCACUUUCAUCGUUGAAGAAUUUUUCAUGCCCCCAAGAGUUAUUUGGGCACUUUCAAUCAUUAUGGAUUUUUUUUGCACUUGCCCCCCAGUGUAGGGUGUGAUCCUAGCCCAGGUUAUUUUUCAAGAAAAAUUUAUUAGGCUCAAAAGGGGACUGCAAAUGAUAUAUUUCAGCCUUGUGAAAGGAUUAUCAAAGAUGGCCUUUCUUCAUCUCAAAUGCAUGCAUUUAGGAUCGGUAAGCCUUGCUUUCAUGCGAGUAUGCAGAGUGAUUUCUCAUUAUUCAUGCAAGUAAAACCCCAGCUUUUGGAGUCACUUCAUGGUGUUGUUUUUUUGAGUUUUCUAGGUGUAUGGUUACCUCUCUAAGGAAUCACCUGAAUUUCCAGAACUUGUUUGUUUCGAAAAAACACCAGAAUGAUUUCUGUUUUUGUACUAAACUUUGAAUUCCCAAAAAUCCUUUGAAAACAUGGGGUCUGUAUUGUUUUGGGAAGAAAAGGGAAAACGCACCACAAGAUUUUGGGCGCGGUGGUUUCAUGCUUAAAGGUUACGCUCAAUGUGUUAUUUGCAUGAAACAACAAAAAUGAUGGCAUGUGAUGAACACAAAACACAUGAUAAAGGCUCAGUGGACAGGGAAAGUCUUGUGGAAUUUUGAGCCAAAUUACCAACAAAAACUGGAAUAGGUUGAAACAAAAAAUCAAGUUUUUGGAGGCAUGAUCAAACUGAGGUAGUUAUUUUGGCAGAGCAAGAACAGGCUCCAUUCUGCAACGGUGAUGCAAUUCCCUUCAAAUUGUGUUGAGGCUCUUGAUCAUGUGGGCCCCCAAUUUCUUCGGGUUGAGUCUUUGUUGGGGCUUUGAACAAAAAUGACUGGCCGAUUGGAAGGACCUUCACUAGAGGCAUUUCUAAGUGUUUGCUCGAGUAAGCUAGUGAGGCGAGCCACACUUGCUUUCAGAGACUCUAACUCUUCUUGGAAAUGGAUGCUGCGGUGAGCACGCUCUUUGUCUCCAAUGUUUUUCUCUCAAAAUCAGGUGUUGUAGACUCGGAGGGGACCUACUUUUUAUUCUGGUGCAUGCAUGACAAAUGUAUGAACAUGAAGUCUAUAUGAUGAACUCGCCCUUCGAGGGGUGACAACAUGGUCGUAACUCUUGUAUGAUGGAACAAGAAUUGUGAUUUUUGCCCAAACUCUACAAUGAAAAUUUUCCGAGUGACGACCAAUGUGUCACCCACAAAUCUUGAGUUCAAGAUGAUUCAAGAAGGGUUCGCCCUGAUGCAAAUAAAUGAUAGCACAUACAACCUAAGGACAGGUUCUAUUCAUUGUGUGAACAUGGGUAGGUUUUCUACCUGGUCUCAAAAGGGUCUAUGAACUGCCCAGUGACACCUCACGUGAAGGCAGUAUAGGGGUUUACAAGGAAUGGUUGGGGCACCAUGUGACCGCCAUUACCGAGUAAACACUCAGCUCAUAGUUGGAUGUUUCACAAAUCUGAACCCCGACUGAAAGUCAUGAGGUAGACUGCUACUCCCCACCUAACUUAGAAGCUUGUGUGUGCUUUCAAAAAUAAAUACAAGUGAUGCAUGAAACAAUUCUAAAAAUGCAUGCAUAAAAUAAAGCAAGACAAAAAUGGCAAAAAUUAAACACAUCAAGUACACAAAGCUUAGUCCAAAAUUGUUAGAAACAAUACCUCCCCAGUGGAGUCGCCAUUCUGUCGCUCGUCGAAAAAUCCCGCGCGCGUCAUCAGCUGGCGAUUUAUGUCUCGUUGUUUGUAUCGCUUGAAUUGGUUCGUUAGGAGUCGCCACCUAGUAUUUAAUUGAGGUUACUAGGAAACCCUGGUGGACUGGUCAUGGUCAAAGAUUCGCGGGUAAGGGACUGAUUGUGGUUAGGGAAGGUGUUAGCACCCCUAACACACCUACCUGAGGUAAGCUGCUCCGUGGACUUGACGUGUUAAAGAAGUUUUAAAAAUUGUCUUUUCAUCGGAUUUUAGAAAUAUAACUUCCGUACAAGUUUAUAUUUCUACACCGUGAUCCAAUCAAAAUAUUAAAUCCUUCUUUAUUCUUUGCUGUCUCAUCACAAAAAAAAAUUCAUUAAACAAAUGUAAACAUGCAUUUUUUAUUAUAUAUUUCUUUCUUUUUCUUUUUUCUUUUACAUUUACAUUUACAUUUACAUUUACAAAAAUGCAAAUUCAAAAACUAAAUAAAAAUUACAUUAAAUAACUUAAAAUUUACAAAAUAGUCCCCCAACACUCUAGGAAUUGCAGGGGAGGACAUUCUGGGACUGCAUGAAACAGUGCCGGCGCGUGGAUCCACGCACCACCGUCACUGGCGGCGCGUGGAUCCACGCGCCGCUGCUGGAAACCAGAAAAAACAGAGGCGCCUGGAGCGACUUCUUCUCCUCUUCAAUUUUCAGCCGGCGGUGAGGGUCCGGUCACCUGCAAAACACAAGAAAAACACACAGAGCAGUCGGUUUUACUUUUUUUUUUUUUAGAUCAGUUUCGUUUUUUCCUUUUUUAGAUCUGCAAUCAAAUCCUUCUAUUCCCAGUGGCUGCUCCUUCGUUCUUCAGACAGCGGAGUGUUGGGUGGCUCGCCGGGCGUUGCUGCGAUGGAAGAGGGGAUCGUGGGUCUGCCACCGGUUGAAGGAGAUGAUGACGUGCUGCCCCGGCGCUGGAUCUGUUCGGUCGUCGCUGCUGUGGAAGGAAACCGAAGGAGAAACAGCCGUGGCUGAGGAGGAGAUCGUGACCUGGGAGGCGCCGGAGCUGGAAGCUGUGGAAAGAAGAGAAAAAUAAAUCAAAACCCGCGGGAGAAGAGUUGUGGCUGGUUCUCCGUGGGGAAAGGAGAGUGGUGCUGCUGGUGGUCUGUGUUGAUGACCGGGCUGUAGGGAAGGAAGGAAAAUGAAUGUGUGGGGGCCGGUUGGCUGAUUUGAAAGAAACACAGCCAAGGGGCAGCUGGUUAAGGGAGAAGAAGAUGAAAAUAACGAAAAGGAAGGGCUGUCUUGGCUGAGAGGGAGACGGGUCGCAGGGAGAGAGGCGAACAAGUGGGGAGCAGCUGCUGUGUUUUGGGAGAGAAAAAUCCCAACCGGGUGGAGGAGGUCGUGCGUUGCUCCGGGUCGGAAAAAUGAAAAGAACACUGGGGGGGCGGCGGCUGGCCUUCGUGAAGGAGAGGAAAUCAGUUCAGUUUUUU
rnacentral:lncRNA from 1 species